AUGGAUAACCAAUCCAUUUUCCAAUAUAGUUGGGAGAUUUUACCCAAGAAAUGGGUACAUAAAAUGAAAAGAUCGAAACAUGGGAAUAGAUCUUAUACCAAUACUGACUACCCAUUUCCAUUGUUGUGCUUUCUAAAAUGGCAUACCUUUACAAGGGUUCAAGUUUCGAUCGAUAUUUGCGGAGUGGAUCAUCCCUCUCGAAAACGAAGAUUUGAAGUUGUCCAUAAUUUACUGAGUACUCGGUAUAACUCACGCAUUCGUGCACAAACAAGUGCAUACGAAGUAACACGAAUAUCUCCAGUAGUCAGUCUAUUUCCAUCAGCCGGCCGGUGGGAGCGAGAAGUAUGGGAUAUGUCUGGUGUUUCUUCCAUCAAUCAUCCGGAUUUACGCCGUAUAUCAACAGAUUAUGGUUUCGAGGGUCAUCCAUUACGAAAAGACUUUCCUCUGAGUGGAUAUGUGGAAGUACGCUAUGAUGAUCCAGAGAAACGUGUGGUUUCUGAACCCAUUGAGAUGACCCAAGAAUUUCGCUAUUUCGAUUUUGCUAGUCCUUGGGAACAGCGUAGCGACGGAUAA
rnacentral:rRNA from 1 species